UACGUAGGGGGCGAGCGUUGUCCGGAAUUAUUGGGCGUAAAGAGCGUGUAGGCGGUUCGGUAAGUCCGCUGUGAAAACUCGAGGCUCAACUUCGAGCUGUCGGUGGAAACUUUCUGGCUAGAGUCCGGAAGAGGAGAAUGGAAUUCCUGGUGUAGCGGUGAAAUGCGCAGAUAUCAGGAGGAACACCAAUUGCGAAGGCAGCUCGCUGGGACGGCACUGACGCUGAGACGCGAAAGCGUGGGGAGCAAACAGG
rnacentral:rRNA from 1 species